CUGGAGUCAUGCACCAAGGGCUCUGGCCUGGCUGCAAACAAUGUUUUAACAGUGUAUUUUAGCUCAUUGCCUGGGACUUCUUGUGUAGUUCAGUGGGAUUCAAGCAAAAUUAGACACCAGCUGCAGAAGGGACAUCUCCCAGCCCUACUCUGCAAUAAACCACACCAACAGGUGGGAAUCACCCCGACAUGGUGCAGCAGAAAUGUGGAGUAAUUCCCCUCCUGGAGGCCCUCUGGCACGGUGCAAGUUAUUUAAGACUGGAGAGCCUCUGCCAGCAUCACCCUGAUGUCCUUCUGAAAAUCUAAAGGCAAGGCAAGCCCCAAGGACCAAUUAAUAAAUUGGCAUCAGUGCUGUA